UCUAACUUUCUUUUAACUAGGAAUGCAUGAAAGUUUGUUUCUCUUUUUUAGUGGAGGGGCUGUGAAUGGAACCCAGGGCUUCCCGGAUGUCAGGCUGUGAAGGGAAGACCAGGAGACAGACUGAAAACAGAUUACGGUUCAGAUUUCUUCCCUGAGGAACAUUCAUUCCAGUCGCUUUCUCUACCAAUGAGAGACUCCAACUCCUCUCCCUUGGAAUAUGACUGAUUGCCCCAUUCCACAGGAGUCAAACUCUAGAACAUUCCCACCUGAAGACCUGUGACUCCUGUUGCUACCAGAUUCUAUCCUAUUAAUUAAUUAAUCAAUUAAUUAAGCUGGGAAUUGAACUUGGGGCCUUACAUGUGCUAGGCAAACACUCUACCACAGAGGCAUACUCCCACCCUCCUCCUAAUUAUCCCAAGCCCAGCCAUGUGGCUUGUGUUUGGAUUUCUACUCAUCAUUGCUGUGUGCAGCAAGGACUCAAGAGACAAAGCAGGAACACACUGGUUUGCCCAGGACCCUCUCCCAAUCUGAUGGUUCUCUUCCUUCUAGUAAGUGCACACACUUUUAUUUCAGAGAGCUCUAAGUGUAGCCUUGAUGCUGGCCUAAGACUGUCACUUUCAUCUUCCAAAGAGAAUCUCUGCAUCUACCAUGGAGACUUCUGCCCUGGAAAGGAGCAGGAGUGUGGGAGGAGACGUCAGCUGCAAAGACAUCGUCUACAUUGUAAGGAGGCGCUGGGACAGAUGAGGCCAGAGGUGGGCAGCUAUUACAGUUCGGAUUUGAAAUAUCCUAGAACGCUCACAUGUUGAAGGUUGGUUCAGUUGUCUGUGCAACUAGGAGGUGGGAACCUAGAUAGAAGAAGGAAGUCAUGGAGGGGAGGAGGAGGGAACUGGGAUUGACAUGUAAAACAAUCUUGUUUCUAAUAAAU
rnacentral:lncRNA from 1 species